rfam:Triticum aestivum genome assembly, contig: Triticum_aestivum_CS42_TGACv1_scaffold_361509_4DS
UUCAUACUCCCUCUGUUCGGAAAAGCUUGUCCCUCAAAUGGAUGUAUCUAGCACCAAAUUAAUGCUAGAUACAUCCAUUUAAGGAACAAGCUUGGGACAAGCUUUUUCGGACGGAGGGGGUAUUAA